rnacentral:tRNA from 1 species
GGAGAUGGAUGCGUCACUGGUGGGCGCCCCGGACUUCAAACCCGCGCGUGGGGUACUAACACUGUCCUAGAUAGGUUCGAUUCCUAUACAUCUCCGCCA